UGGCUUUACCUGAAGACGGUGCGCUAACCGCAAGGARGCAGCCGGCCACGGUAGGGUCAGCGACUGGGGUGAAGUCGUAACAAGGUAGCCGUAGGUGAACCUGCAGAAGGAUCA
rnacentral:rRNA from 1 species